rnacentral:rRNA from 1 species
UACGUAGGGUGCAAGCGUUGUCCGGAAUUAUUGGGCGUAAAGAGCUCGUAGGCGGUCUGUCGCGUCUGCUGUGAAAACUCGGGGCUUAACCCCGGGCCUGCAGUGGGUACGGGCAGACUAGAGUCCGGAAGAGGAGAGUGGAAUUCCUGGUGUAGCGGUGAAAUGCGCAGAUAUCAGGAGGAACACCGGUGGCGAAGGCGGGUCUCUGGGCCGUAACUGACGCUGAGGAGCGAAAGCGUGGGGAGCGAACAGG